AUCAGUGCUCAUCACUCUCGUCGCGAUUCCCCACCGAGUUGACUCGCUAUGCGAACUCAGCGUCGCUCUACGCAACAAGGUUUUCGAUUUCAACUUGGCGUCUCCAUUGCGAAACUAUCCUCACGGUGUCCUCAGCGAAGAUAGGUUUUAUAGAGCGGAGACAAAUGCACAGUGCUCUGGUUUCAGCUUUGCGGUGUAUUGAUUUUCAAUCAUGACCCCCACGAUGCGUUGGUUGUGCGGUCCAUCACACUGUGAAACAGCAUGCGGUGCACUUGUCUCGGAAAAUGUAAGAGGGUAUGAUGUAUGUACUACUGUAGGGCGCUAUUCAAGCACAGGCGUUGAUGUUAUUGAUAAAGAGAAUCCUGCCGAAGGCAUCAUUGUUAAGAUGUCAAGUGGCAACGAAAAGCAAAAUUGUUCACUCUCAGUUUCUGUUACUUGCCAGACGAAUAAAGUUGAUGGGCCAAUCACACUCGAGAAAUCAGGGAUAUGUCAUUAUGCGAGUGUUAGCGACUCAUCUGUUUGAAAUGAGCAGUAGUCUUUCUUAAACAAUCUAACCAGGGAUCUUUUCACUGAUGGUAUAGCUUUCCACUGUUGUCCUGGUUCAGAUAUAUGUGUGUAUCAUGUCUAAUCUCAUAUUUUCCUGUAUGAGACUUUUGACUUCCAGGAAUUUGUUCUUAGGGAUUGCAUGAUUGAGUAAUGUCUGCACUUGCCACCCUGUACAUUGUGCUUGGACAUCCUGAAUUUCUUUGUAGCAUUGCAACUUCUUUAUUUAUUCAAAGUAUGGAAUAAAAAGAAAAGCUUGUUGAUUUGUUUAGGCAAUUUGAAGGAUAUGAUGUUAGUAACAUGAGAAGACAGAGCAUACUGCAGAGUUGAGUGGGUUGUUCUCUUUCAGAUUUGUAUGGGAGUCAUAGGAUUAUACUGGAGAAAGGAAUGGCAGCCACAGAAAGCAAAUCUUGAUUUAACAUUUUAUCCUUGGCAUUCUUUAAUGACUACUGAGUUGCGCAUCCUUCUGGUUGUGCUACAACUAUAUCAGGCCAUGGUGGUGGAUGGGGUUGGUUUGGAACCUUACUGCUCAUUGUCUUGUCCCUAUUUGGAGCUUAUUUGCUGGCUGCUGCAGCUUAUCGGUAUUUCGCCUUUGGAAUUCGUGGCUUAGAUGUAAUUCCCAAUUUGGAUUUCUGGGCGACCGCACCUCACAGAAUACAGGUACUCUUCUUUGUUUAUAUCUUAUCUUUUGGUGGCUCUGCAUCUACUUCAAGACCACAGAUUCAGGAGGCCUAGCUAGUUAUGUUCACCACCACAGCUCAUAUUCUCCAGUCAACUUCUGAGCCGCCAUAGCUCCUCUCUUAAUCUUAUUGGUGAUCCUCGACACAAGGCACUGACCCUUCUCUCUGAUUGUGAAAAAACGCCACCAGAUUAUUUCAGUGUAUGUCCCGUCUUGGCCAACAUGAAAGGUGCCUCCCAUGUUUCUCUUCUCUGUGAUACAUUUUUAGGAGAACCGAAAGAAUCGACCUUUCAUCCGGUAGAAAUAAUACAAGCAUCGGGGAAGAAUACAUACACACACAGCACUUGUUGUUUCUAAUCUUCUGCAAAAACCACUGUUACUGUUUCCACAUUACUGUACCUUUAGACAUUCUUGUAGCAGUUUAGAAAUUUACUCAGCCGAUGUCUCCAUGUUUCAGUACUUCUGAAAAACCAUGUUCACAAAUGCAUGUGUGUGUAUAUACACAUAUACAGUUCGUGA